CGGGUGAAAGUUUCGCGCGCUCGAGCGCCGCGCCGAUGGCGUGCGAGCCAAGAUUGUGCGCGCUGAACGAAGACAGGUCGCCCUGAAAGCGGCCAAGGGGAGUGCGGACAGCGGAUACGAUGACAACGGGAUCGGACGUAGACAUGCAACUCUCCUGGUUCGCGCACGGAGCAGCGCCGUGUUAGAUGACAUGCAUCAUAUGA
rnacentral:misc_RNA from 1 species